rnacentral:rRNA from 1 species
GCGUUAAUCGGAAUUACUGGGCGUAAAGGGUGCGUAGGUGGUUUGAUAAGUUAACUGUGAAAGCCCUGGGCUCAACCUGGGAAGGCCAGUUAAGACUGUUGGACUAGAGUAUGGGAGAGGAUAGUGGAAUUUCCGGUGUAGCGGUGAAAUGCGUAGAGAUCGGAAGGAACACCAGUGGCGAAGGCGGCUAUCUGGCCUAAUACUGACACUGAAGCACGAAAGCGUG